GACGAACGCUGGCGGCGUGCCUAAUACAUGCAAGUCGAGCGCAGGAAAUCGACGGAACCCUUCGGGGGGAAGUCGACGGAAUGAGCGGCGGACGGGUGAGUAACACGUAAAGAACCUGCCCUCAGGUCUGGGAUAACCACGAGAAAUCGGGGCUAAUACCGGAUGGGUCAUCGGACCGCAUGGUCCGAGGAUGAAAGGCGCUUCGGCGUCGCCGGGGGAUGGCUUUGCGGUGCAUUAGCUAGUUGGUGGGGUAAUGGCCCACCAAGGCGACGAUGCAUAGCCGACCUGGGAGGGUGAGCGGCCACACUGGGACUGAGACACGGCCCAGACUCCUACGGGAGUCAGCAGUAGGGAAUCUUCCACAAUGGACGAAAGUCUGAUGGAGCAACGCCGCGUGAACGAUGAAGGCCUUCGGGUCGUAAAGUUCUGUUGUAAGGGAAGAACAAGUGCCGCAGGCAAUGGCGGCACCUUGACGGUACCUUGCGAGAAAGCCACGGCUAACUACGUGCCAGCCGCCGCCGUAA
rnacentral:rRNA from 1 species